rnacentral:lncRNA from 1 species
CUGGAGACACUAUCCUCUUCACUCAAAAUAUCGGCACACACAUACACCCAAUCGCACACACACGCGCAAUCCUCUCCCUUCACAGCUUACUCAAAAUCGCACACUAAUCCGUACAUACCUAAAAAAAAAAUAGAGCCGAUUGAGAGAGAGGGUGACGAAUAGAGAGAGAUAUAGUUAUUUUGGUUUUGGAUUAUUGUUUUGGCGACACAGUCGUCGAAUUUAGACAUUUUCCGUCAGCUUAUUCCCUUCACGGCUCACUGGAGCUUAGAUUCAGACUGGUUUUGAGCUCUCAGUUAGACUUCGGAGAUGUUAGUUCUCGUUUGCUCGUCAUUCGUCUUCCGAUAUCGUGCCUUUGAAGGUUUUUGAUAUCGGGACGGUCUGUUUUUCGGUUGCUAUUUUGUUGUGGUUUCAUCGGUCUUCGCUACUAAUUUGAAGAUUAGAAUCUCAUUCGUCUCGAAUCGUUAAUCGCGAUCAAUUUUUGGUCUUCAAUCUUCGAUACCAAAUCUGGGGUUAUCGCAUUUUGGAUUGUUUCUCGAUUGAUUUGGAGAGUCGAGAUUUCGUUGGUAUUCUUCGAGGUUCUUGGACGGGCUCUUAUUUCUCUUAUUAAAUCAAUCGAAAGCUCCUGAGGUCCAAUUCUAACUUUUCUCUUUUUGAUUUUCUCGUGAUUACGAAUGAUUUGUAUGUUUGGGCAUAUUUGAAUCCUCGUUGUUUGUUUGUUUGACGUUGAAUUUAGAGUUGAAAACUUAAUUGAUAAAUUGUGUUUAGAAUUGGCUUAAUCAUUAAGUAGGAAUUUGGAGAGGGAAUCGGAAAUCUAUAAAGGGUGAAUUUUGGCUAAUUUGAUUCGUGGGUUGUUGUUUGACUUAGAAUGCAUUACUCGAACUUUAUGGUAGCAUGUUUUAGGUCGAGAUAGAAUAGACAAAUUUUAAGUUGGAUAGGCAAAAGUAGGAAUCGUGCAUAGUUGAAUGAUUUCAAAUGUUUGUGGAAUAGUUUAUUUUUCUCGCAUUUGAAAAAUGUAUUUAUUCGUCGGGGAAUGCCUCGAGGUCACAUUGUACUUAUUCAUCAGGGAAUGCCCCGACGUAUUAUGUACUCGGAGGAAGUGCGUGAUGAAGGCCCGAGACAUCGGGUAAAGCCUUGGAGCGUAGUUUAGGAUUAGUGUAGGUUUACUUUUCAGUUCUUUUUUUUUAUCUCAGGUUGUAAUAAUUGAACUGGACACUAUAAUUUUGAAUUUUUUUUGUUUGUUUGAUUGAUUUGUGUAUUUUUUUUGUGUGGUUUAUAUAUUCAUAAUGUGAAAAUUAGUCGAUACGCUCCACCAAGUGACCGUGGUCGAACUACGGGAUCGAGGGGUGUCUAACACCUUCCUCUCGGUCAACAGAAUUCCAUAGCCGGAAUCUCUGUUCGCGGAUCAGUGUUACAGAGUCAAAACCAUUUUUUUGAAAAAAGAUAUCCACGGGUGACUUGGCACACCCGAUUUAUGUCAAGUGGCGACUCUGAGUUUUGAAUGUAAAUAAUCCUUUUCGAAAUCAAUCUUCAUUUUGUCACUUUAAUAAUAAAAACCCUUUCGAACUAAAUUCUAACCUUUUCAAAAAAAAUUUAAAAAAAAGGGUGUGACAACUAACACCCUUGAGUCUAGAUCUAAGUUAAGCUUGAACAUUGUUGUUGGUAUUGUUGUUACGGUUUCAAGAACUUGAAUAUUGUUGAUGUUGUUGUGUGAACCAAAACUUGAAGGUGGUUUGAGCUCGUGUUGGUAUUUUGUUGUGGUUUUUAAGCUUGAAAAAGGUGGUGUUGAUUGUCGGAGGUUCAACGUGAGGCUAAGUUUUCAAACUUCUAUUGAAAGUUCUUGUUGUUCUAGACUAUCUUCAUGUCUAGUUGCAAAAAACCUGUUCAAUAGUGUUGUUUGAUCCAAAAGCCAAGUGGAAAGAAGUGAGGCCUUUGUUAGUCUUUAAAACAAAUCCCAAAAGCCUACCAAAAGGGAAAGGGGAACAAAAAGAUCUACAAAAGACUUAGUACUAAAAGAGGAAAAAAAACACUUUUCUAGGUGUCCAAAAUAGGAAAGGGCCAAAGGUGU